rnacentral:tRNA from 1 species
GCCCGCUUGGCGGAAUUGGUAGACGCAAGGGACUUAAAAUCCCUUGUCCGUAAGGACGUCCGAGUUCGAGUCUCGGAGCGGGCACCA